rnacentral:rRNA from 1 species
CAGGAUGACGGCCCUAUGGGUUGUAAACUGCUUUUAUACGGGAAGAAACCCGCCUACGUGUAGGCGGCUGACUGUACCGUAAGAAUAAGGACCGGCUAACUCCGUGCCAGCAGCCGCGGUAAUACGGAGGGUCCGAGCGUUAUCCGGAAUCAUUGGGUUUAAAGGGUCCGUAGGCGGGCCUGUAAGUCAGGGGUGAAAGUUUGUGGCUCAACCAUAAAAUUGCCUUUGAUACUGCAGGUCUUGAGUCAUGGUGGGGUUGCCGGAACAUGUGGUGUAGCGGUGAAAUGCAUAGAUAUCACAUAGAACACCGAUCGCGAAGGCAGGUGACCAACCAUGUACUGACGCUGAUGGACGAAAGCGUGGGUAGCGAACGGGAUUAGAUACCCCGGUAGUCCACGCCGUAAACGAUGGAUACUAGCUGUGGGGACUUCGGUCUCCGUGGCCAAGCGAAAGUGAUAAGUAUCCCACCUGGGGAGUACGUUCGCAAGAAUGAAACUCAAAGGAAUUGACGGGGGCCCGCACAAGCGGUGGAGCAUGUGGUUUAAUUCGAUGAUACGCGAGGAACCUUACCAGGGCUUAAAUGCAGGCUGCAUGGGGUGGAGACAUCCCUUUCUUCGGACUGCCUGCAAGGUGCUGCAUGGUUGUCGUCAGCUCGUGCCGUGAGGUGUCAGGUUAAGUCCUAUAACGAGCGCAACCCCUGCCGUUAGUUGCCAGCAUGUAAAGAUGGGGACUCUAACGGGACUGCCGGUGCAAACCGUGAGGAAGGUGGGG